AUGGCCCGAAGACCCUGGCACAGCAUAUACAGCAGUGAAGAGGAUUAUGAAGACAUCGAGAUGUGUGACCAUGGUUACAAUGGGCUCCUUCCCAAGUCUGAAAAGCGACAUUUGGGGAAAAGUAGGUGGACCAGGGAAGAGGAUGAAAAACUAAAAAAGCUGGUGGAACAGAAUGAAACAGAUGACUGGAAAGUUAUUACCAAUUAUCUCCCAAAUCAGACAGACAUGCUGUGCCAGCACCAAUGGCAGAAAGUUCUAAACCCUGAGCUCAUCAAGGGUCCUUGGACCAAAGAAGAUCAGAGAGUGAUAGAAUUUGAACAGAGAUAUGGUGUGAAACGUUGGUCUGUUAUUGUCAAACUCUUAAAAGGGAGAAUGGGAAAACAAUGUAGGAAGAGGUGGCAUAACCAGUUGAAUCCAGAAGUUAAGAAAACCUCCUGGACAGAAGAGGAAGACAGAAUUAUUUACCAGGCACACAAGAGACUGGGGAACAGAUGGGAAGAAAUCACAGAGCUACUGCCUGGACGGACUGACAAUGCUAUCAAGAACCACUGGAAUUCUACAAUGCGUUGAAAGGUGGAACAGGCAGGUUAUCUUCAGGAGUCUUCAAAAGCCAGCCAGUUGACAGUGGCUGCAAGUUUCCAGAAGAACAAUCCUUUGAUGGGUUUUACUCACGCACCACCUUUUCAACUCCCUCCAACUGGCCAGCCCUUGGUUAGCAAUGACUAUUCCUAUUACCACAUUUCUGAGGCACAGAAUGUCUCCAGCCAUGUUCCAUAUCCUGUAGCUUUACAUGUAAAUAUAGUCAAUAUUCCUCAGCCCGCUGUGGCAGCCAUUCAGAGACACUGUUAUUUGAAGGCCCUGAAAAGGAAAAGUGAAUAAAAGAAUUAGAAUUGCUCCUAAUGUCCACUGAGAAUGAGCUAAAAGGUCAGCAGGCAGUAGCAAUACAGAACCACACAUGCACCUACCCCGGGUGACACAGCACCUCUAUUGCCAACCACAGCAGACCUCAUGGAGAUGGUGAGCCUCUUUCCUGUUUGGGAGAACACCAUUCCACUCCUCUGCUGGUGGAUCCCAGCUCCCGACCUGAAGAAUGUGUCUCACCAGCAAGGUGCAUGAUCAUCCACCAGGGCACCAUUCUGGAUAAUGUUAAGAACCUCCUAGAAUUUGCAGAAACAUUCCAGUUUAUAGAUUCUGAUACUUCAUCAUGGUGUGAUUUCAGCAAUUUUGAAUUCUCUGACAAAGCAGCUUUUGCACCUAGCCAGCAUCACUCAGGAGUGAAUAAACACUUGUUGGGUGAGGGUUCACUUGACUCACCCAAGGUCUUGUCUCCUUCAAGGCCCAGUGCAAUUCCACUGGUCAUUCUUCAAAACAAACAGGGCCAGGCCAGUCCCUUAGCUAUUGGGAGGCUCCAGCUGCUUCUUCUUUGCUGAAGCCAGCAGCGCAGCUCCCAAGCCUUCCUCUGUCAAAAGCCUGCCCUUCUCUUCCUUGCAGUUCAGAAACACCUCUAGUAACCAUGAAAACUUAGACUUGGAUUGUGUAUUCCUUAACUUCUCCCCCUCUCAAUGGUCACAAACUGACUAUUACAACACCAUUCCAUAGGGAGCAAAUUGUGAAAAUCCAAAAGGAAAACACCAUUUUUAGAACUCCAACUAUCAAAAGAUCAAUCCUAGAAAACUCUCCUAGAACUCCUCCUCCACUUAAACAUGCACUUGUGGCUCAAGAAAUUAAAUGUGGUCCCCUGAAGAUGCUACCUCAGACACCCACUCACCUAGUAGAAGACCUACAGGAUGUGAUCAAACAAGAAUCUGAUGAAUCUGGCAUUGUUGCUGAAUUUCAAGAAAACAGACCCACCCCCCUUACUGAAGAAAAUCAAACAAGAAGGGGAAUCUACAACUGAUAAGGUGGGAAAAAUUUUCUGCUCAAGCCACUGGGAAGGGGAGAAUCUGAAGACUCAACUGUUCAUACAGGCGUCACAGAUGGUGAGCUCCCCAAAUAUUGUUAUGAGUUCUGUUUUAAUGAUGCCAGUAUCAAAAGAUGAAGACAGUGUUCUGAAAGCAUUUACAGUACCUAAACACAGGUUUCUGGUGAACCCUUUUCAGCCUUGAAGUGGUGCCUGGGAACCCAUCCUGUGGGAAGACAGAUGACCAGAUGACAGUUUCUUCUCAGAUUCAUAAAUAUAUGAAUGCAUUCUCUGCCUGGACUCUGGUCAUGUGA